AUGAGAGAGGGAGAGGCGGAGACGAGGCUGCCUGAGGCGGCCGAACUACCACCUCCGUCUCCUCGAUCCUCGCCGGGUGGCUGUGCAGGGGGUCACAUCAUAUCUGUCCGCUCUCCCAGUACCCUCGUGGCGGCGCCGUCCGGGGGAAAGGAGGGGCCGACGGGAACGGGCGGUGACCGUGGCGACCAGCCGCACGGUGAGAUCGGACGGGAGGAGAUACGAUGGGCACAAUGGCGGGCGAUCUUCUCCGACGGGACGGAUCCGGGCAUUUGGAUCGAAGGACGUCUUCGAUUCAAUCUGCAUUCGCGGUGGCUGGCUCUUCUCGAUCUGGAGAACGACGGCCUCGCCGGCGAUUAUCUCCCGGACGGCGACAUGAUUGAGGUAGGUUUUCAAUUCAAACUUGAUGUACAUGACGUAGUUGUUGGCGAAUGCGUGCAGCUGGAUUUACGACCGAAGGCAUCGGAGAUGAUCCAUCUGACGGAGCCGAUGGUCCAUACAGGACCGGGAGGACGUUUUUGGGCGCUUCUGGAGAGCGAGGACGAAGAACAGGUGGAGUGUCAUGCCCCCACCGUCACCACGGUCACCUGA
rnacentral:rRNA from 1 species